ensembl:lncRNA
CACGUGUGUCCGCGCAGUGCGCUGUGUCUGUGAGGGCCAGUGUACUCUGAGACGUGCGACCGUCAAGGCUGCGGAUGAAGCUGCAGCUGCCAGUGUUGAGGUCAGGCUCUCCUCUGCAGGAACCUCCAGCGUUUAGGCUUUUCAAUUGUGUUUGAUCUUCUACAAGUGAGGUCACGAGUGUGAUGGGCCUGUUCUCAACUUGAGAAAUUCUUCAGCCUGGAGCUGUGUGCCCUAACAAGCUCAGUCUGUAUAUUAUUGUUUGAGUGCCUGGAAUGCACACCUGGGACCUCUCAACUGGUGCCCACUGUUUAAGAAAGUAAACAGAAGUUGUCAAGGAGGAACACGAUCUUCCUGGUUGCUGCCACCGCGGAGAGCUCGUGGGCGGCACCCCGCGAGUGAACUUGAGCCUUGGGACUACAGGUAAGACCAACUUUUCUGCUGCAAGUGACCUGCCUGGUGAACUCGGACACACAGAGGCAGAAUUCCUCU